rnacentral:tRNA from 1 species
GCCCCCGUAGCCCAACACGGUAGAGGCAGGCCCCCUAAAAGGGUCGACGUGUCGGUUCGAGUCCGACCGGGGGCA